rnacentral:misc_RNA from 1 species
CUCGAUUUAAGUCAUCUCUAUAAAUUCGGUACAUGCGCUAUUUGGGGUAGGCUUUUCAAAUAAAUCGAAAUCGGAACCAUUGCUGGCCAAUUAUGUUUCCUGUUUCAAAAUCCAAGAAAAAUCUUUCUCACAGUGUUCUCUCUCCUUAUCUCCUCACGUACACUACGCAGAUUUUUCUAGUCUUCGUUCUCAUCCACGCACGGGAGGAAAAUCUUCUCUGCGCUUCUAUCCACCACCGCUCAAUCGUUUGAUUUUUUUUUUCGCGCAAGCUUCUUACCUCCUGCGCGCAGAUUGCUUCUUCCUGCUGCACGGCAUGCCGGAGAAAGAUAUGUCUCUCAGAUUUUUUCUUCUCUACCGAUUGCUUUGCUCCUGGCGUGAUUUUUUUUCUCUGCGAUUGAUCUCAUCCCUGCACGGCUCUAGUGGAAAAAUCCCGCCGCCCCUGGGCGCUUCAAAAAUCCAGCCGACGCUCGCCCCUAUCUUCUUCCUCAGCCCAGCCGUCUUCCUGGGCAACCGCGUCUCCUUCUUCCUCCCCCUGCGUCCCUGUUCGGUUCCUGCGCACGCUGACUCCCUGCGUCGCGAGCUUCAGCUCGGAUUCCCCCUCCCAUGGCUGCCGAGCAGCUCGCCGGAAUUCCACGCUCGGUGCCUGGAUCUCCCUCC